rnacentral:rRNA from 1 species
GACGGAGGAUGCAAGCGUUAUCCGGAAUGAUUGGGCGUAAAGCGUCCGCAGGUGGCAGUUCAAGUCUGCUGUCAAAGACCGGGGCUUAACUUCGGAAAGGCAGUGGAAACUGAACAGCUAGAGUAUGGUAGGGGCAGAGGGAAUUCCUGGUGUAGCGGUGAAAUGCGUAGAGAUCAGGAAGAACAUCGGUGGCGAAGGCGCUCUGCUGGACCGUAACUGACACUCAGGGACGAAAGCUAGGGGAGCGAACGGG